CCAAAACAUAAGAAACAAUGCGACAUAAACAAGGUCGAUCGAACUAAGCUUAAAUCUAAUCAUUUCAUGGGAUCAAAAGCAUUUGUAGCAGCUCGUGCUGAACUUGGUGAAAAUGAACCUGAAAAAGUAGAGCCUGACAGAAUCGAGUUCUACAAGCAUACUCAUUACAAUAGUAAGAAAGGAUGGUCAUCUUUAGAGGCUGAGACUCACUAUGUAAGGAUGGUUAUCCAACGCGUUUGUUCGAUUAAUGUUCUUCUGAAGUUGUGUCUUCUCCUU